AUUGAACGCUGGCGGCAUGCCUUACACAUGCAAGUCGAACGGUAACGCGGGGCAACCUGGCGACGAGUGGCGAACGGGUGAGUAAUGCAUCGGAACGUGCCCAGUAGUGGGGGAUAGCCCGGCGAAAGCCGGAUUAAUACCGCAUACGACCUACGGGUGAAAGGGGGGGAUCGCAAGACCUCUCGCUAUUGGAGCGGCCGAUGUCAGAUUAGGUAGUUGGUGGGGUAAAGGCCUACCAAGCCGACGAUCUGUAGCUGGUCUGAGAGGACGACCAGCCACACUGGGACUGAGACACGGCCCAGACUCCUACGGGAGGCAGCAGUGGGGAAUUUUGGACAAUGGGCGCAAGCCUGAUCCAGCCAUGCCGCGUGCGGGAAGAAGGCCUUCGGGUUGUAAACCGCUUUUGUCAGGGAAGAAAUCUUCUGGGUUACUACCUCGGGAGGAUGACGGUACCUGAAGAAUAAGCACCGGCUAACUACGUGCCAGCCGCCGCAGUAAAAC
rnacentral:rRNA from 1 species